rnacentral:misc_RNA from 1 species
AACCAUUCUCACCUGCGGCUAGACCUGCGGAGGGAUCAUUAAUAAAUGUUACUUCGGUAACUUAAUUAAUCCCUAACACCUGUGCAUCUUGUCGCUUCGGCGUCAUUUUAUAAACAUCAGUGUAAUGAAUGUAACGUAUUAUAACAAAUACAACUUUUAGCAAUGGAUCU